UACGGGGGGGGCAAGCGUUGUUCGGAAUUACUGGGCGUAAAGGGCUCGUAGGCGGCCAACUAAGUCAGACGUGAAAUCCCUCGGCUUAACCGGGGAACUGCGUCUGAUACUGGAUGGCUAGAGGUUGGGAGAGGGAUGCGGAAUUCCAGGUGUAGCGGUGAAAUGCGUAGAUAUACGGAGGAACACCUGCGGCGAAGGCGGGUAGCUGGGCCAACACUGACGCUGAUGCGCGAAAGCUAGGGGAGCAAACGGG
rnacentral:rRNA from 1 species